UACAGAGACCUCAAGCGUUAUCCGGAUUUAUUGGGCGUAAAGCGUCCGCAGGUGGUCUGGCCAGUCAGAGGUUAAAACUCAACGCUUAACGUUGAGACUGCCUUUGAUACUACCAGACUCGAGGUUGGAAGAGGUAAGCGGAAUUCUCGGUGUAGUCGUAAUAAGCGUUGAUAUCGAGAAGAACACCAAAUGCGAAGGCAGCUUACUGGUACACACCUGACACUCAUGGACGAAAGCGUGGGGAGCAAACAGG
rnacentral:rRNA from 1 species